rnacentral:rRNA from 1 species
GAAAAAGAGGAGUGGCGAACGGGUGAGUAACACGUGGGUAACCUGCCCAUCAGAAGGGGAUAACACUUGGAAACAGGUGCUAAUACCGUAUAACAAUCGAAACCGCAUGGUUUUGAUUUGAAAGGCGCUUUCGGGUGUCGCUGAUGGAUGGACCCGCGGUGCAUUAGCUAGUUGGUGAGGUAACGGCUCACCAAGGCCACGAUGCAUAGCUGACCUGAGAGGGUGAUCGGCCACAUUGGGACUGAGACACGGCCCAAACUCCUACGGGAGGCAGCAGUAGGGAAUCUUCGGCAAUGGACGAAAGUCUGACCGAGCAACGCCGCGUGAGUGAAGAAGGUUUUCGGAUCGUAAAACUCUGUUGUUAGAGAAGAACAAGGAUGAGAGUAACUGUUCAUCCCUUGACGGUAUCUAACCAGAAAGCCACGGCUAACUACGUGCCAGCAGCCGCGGUAAUACGUAGGUGGCAAGCGUUGUCCGGAUUUAUUGGGCGUAAAGCGAGCGCAGGCGGUUUCUUAAGUCUGAUGUGAAAGCCCCCGGCUCAACCGGGGAGGGUCAUUGGAAACUGGGAGACUUGAGUGCAGAAGAGGAGAGUGGAAUUCCAUGUGUAGCGGUGAAAUGCGUAGAUAUAUGGAGGAACACCAGUGGCGAAGG